UUCAACAUUUUGUAAUGCGUUCGCCGUAUAACCGUAACGUGACGCAGUGGUUCUACACGACAUUUUGUAGUCUGCGGCUCCCCCAUAAUGUCACCGGGCCUUGUGGCUCAUUCGUAUUCGUUUGGAUCUAUUAUAUAUGUAAACGCGAUCGAUGACGAUAAACCGAUAAAAGAAAAUUACCCGAUGGCUUAAGUAUUGGCGACGCAGUUGAGAAACAUCGGCAUUACUCAUCUACUGAGCGAAUUUUCUUCGGAUAAACGGACAUUUGGUCUUACGCAGUUAUUACGACGACGGGUUUUCGGAGAUUAACGAAAGAAACUGCAAAAAAAAAAAAACACAAAAAAACUCGCUGAAAUCGUUGAAAACCGUUCGAGAGGGAAAACGGACGGUAUAGCGUUCGGAAUUAUAUUAUUGUUGUCGGUCGUUCGAUUCUAGUAUUAAUUGGAGAAUUUUUUAUUCAAUUUAAUUAAGAAAAUUGUUAUGUUAAAUUAUGAUUUUGGGUUGGGUUUUUUCUUUGUUAAUUUUUUUUUUCACCCUCCAUUGAGAAACCUAACGCCACCGGUUUGCGCUUAUUUCACUUGUUUAAUCGCGUAAUAAACUAUAUU